UACGUAGGGUGCAAGCGUUGUCCGGAAUUAUUGGGCGUAAAGAGCUCGUAGGCGGUCUGUCGCGUCGGCUGUGAAAACCCGGAGCUCAACUCCGGGCCUGCAGUCGAUACGGGCAGACGUGGAGUUCGGCAGGGGAGACUGGAAUUCCUGGUGUAGCGGUGAAAUGCGCAGAUAUCAGGAGGAACACCGGUGGCGAAGGCGGGUCUCUGGGCCGUACCUGACACUGAACCGCGACAGCAUGGGGAGCAAACGAGG
rnacentral:rRNA from 1 species